rnacentral:tRNA from 1 species
GCCUGGAUGGCUCAGUUGGUUGGAGUGUCAUCCCAUACACUAAAAGGUUGCAGGUUCGAUUCCUGAUCAGGGCA